GAUGAACGCUGGCGGCGUGCCUAAUACAUGCAAGUCGAGCGAACAGACGAGGAGCUUGCUCCUCUGACGUUAGCGGCGGACGGGUGAGUAACACGUGGAUAACCUACCUAUAAGACUGGGAUAACUUCGGGAAACCGGAGCUAAUACCGGAUAAUAUAUUGAACCGCAUGGUUCAAUAGUGAAAGACGGUUUUGCUGUCACUUAUAGAUGGAUCCGCGCCGCAUUAGCUAGUUGGUAAGGUAACGGCCUACCAAGGCAACGAUGCGUAGCCGACCUGAGAGGGGGGUCGGCCACACUGGAGCGGAGACGCGGUCCAGACUCCUACGGGAGGCAGCAGUAUGGAAUGUGCCGCAAUGGGGGAAAGCCUGACGGAGCAACGCCGCGUGAGUGAUGAAGGUCUUCGGAUCGUGAAACUCUGUUAUUAGGGAAGAACAAAUGUGUAAGUAACUAUGCACGUCUUGACGGUACCUAAUCAGAAAGCCACGGCUAACUACGUG
rnacentral:rRNA from 1 species